CGCAGAGUCGCCGGAGAAUGAGAAAUAACAUCAAGAACUGAGUUUCUACUGGGUGUUCGAGUUGUAUGCCCCUGCUCUUGGUUGGAAUGUGCUGUCAAGAGCAAUCAGGCUCUCCACUUGAUAACUUUGCCCUAGCUUUUAAAAGAUUUCCGUCUACUUCGGACCAUUAUUACCCAGUCUCGAGGGUUCAUCAGGCAGUGCGUGCGGAAACCGGCUGUAGUAUUGGGGGGUUAAUUGCCAGGGGAUUUCACAUACUUGUGUUCCAGGGGCUCGGCACUCAGCUAUGCAACUUUUGCUAGUAAAGGAGAUGCUGCCUCGAGCAUUCUACUCACUACCAUCACCAUGAUUGUAUCAGUUCUUGUUAGUAUACUUACUCUCGGCUUUCUCGCUGGGUCUGUCGUUGUGCCGAUGGCUGCACUUGCAAUGUCUAAGUAAAAAUCACAGGUUGUUUUACUUACACGAAGCCUGUGGUGACGGUGCUAGUGAUGCUGGUCGUUGCUAUGGCUUGUAGCCCAACCCUUUCGCAAUCAAUCGAUCCAUAUUUUGACAGCAGAGGGUCUUUCUUUGAUUCUUUAAAAUUAGCGUUCCGAGCUAGUGGUGGAUUUCCCUUUAUGCUAUUGGUCUCCAGAAUCUUUGAUCGGCAUUAGAAGUUUAUGAAUGCCACUGUCAAUUGUGUGGGGCAAGCGAGGCCGCUGAGUAUUUAGUCGACGAAAUGAAGCAGCCUUAUUCCAACCUAUUUUAGAUCUAUGUAGCGCAUGAGCACUUUAUACUUGUAUUUCUUUCUCUGAGACUACUUUCCUUCUCAUUUCACAGGCAAGAAGAAGUGAGCAGGACAAUGUCAUUGGCGCACAGGAAUGCAGAGUUUCACUCUCACAAGGCUUCCCGCAACACUGUUCCUAGGCACCAUCAGGCCUUGCCAUGGCCAUCUUGGGUCUUUUUCUAGCCUCUUUCUGGGCCACCGGCACACGAAUUUACGACUAGACACCACUACUCAUUAAAAGAGUUGGUUCAAGGGCAAAGAUAUACAGUCGAUGAGAAAGGUAUAUCUGGGACUUGUGCAUUAUUCAUUAUGAAAAAACUGCCAGCAGUAAACCUGAAUUUAGCUGCCAAAAUUGAGUACAUAUUGAGCAACAGUCCCAAGCUAAAUCUUCGACAAGUUGUACAUGCGUACAGCAAGCUGUACGAUGAUAAACUUUAA